rnacentral:rRNA from 1 species
CAACCUGCCCUUCACCACGGAAUAAUCCAGUGAAAAUUGGUCUAAUACCGUAUGAGGUCAUACGAUGGCNUCAGAAUAUGACGAAAGGUUUGGCGGUGAAGGAUGGGGAUGCGUCUGAUUAGCUUGUUGGUGAGGUAACGGCUCACCAAGGCGACGAUCAGUAGGGGUUCUGAGAGGAAGGUCCCCCACAUUGGAACUGAGACACGGUCCAAACUCCUACGGGAGGCAGCAGUGAGGAAUAUUGGUCAAUGGGCGAGAGCCUGAACCAGCCAAGUAGCGUGCAGGAUGACGGCCCUAUGGGUUGUAAACUGCUUUUAUAUGGGGAUAAAGUGAGCUACGUGUAGUUUAUUGCAGGUACCAUAUGAAUAAGGACCGGCUAAUUCCGUGCCAGCAGCCGCGGUAAUACGGAAGGUCCAGGCGUUAUCCGGAUUUAUUGGGUUUAAAGGGAGCGUAGGCCGCCCCUUAAGCGUGUUGUGAAAUGCCGCGGCUCAACCGUGGCACUGCAGCGCGAACUGGGGGGCUUGAGUGCACGCAACGCAGGCGGAAUACGUGGUGUAGCGGUGAAAUGCUUAGAUAUCACGAAGAACUCCGAUUG